UUCCAGAAAACUGUGAUGUGAUAUUUCCAAGCACAUAUCUGACUGCUUUUUGUGGAAACAUGAUUAUUUCUGAGUUUUCUGGAC
rnacentral:snoRNA from 1 species